rnacentral:rRNA from 1 species
UACGAAGGGGGCUAGCGUUGCUCGGAAUCACUGGGCGUAAAGGGUGCGUAGGCGGGCCCGUCAGUCAGGGGUGAAAUCCCACGGCCCAACCGUGGAAGUGCCUCUGAUACUGCGGGCCUGGAGGGGGAUAGGGGCGUGCGGAACUUCCGGUGGAGCGGUGAAAUGCGUAGAUAUCGGAAGGAACACCGGUGGCGAAAGCGGCGCGCUGGAUCCCUACUGACGCUGAGGCACGAAAGCCAGGGGAGCAAACGGG